rnacentral:rRNA from 2 species
AAAUUGAAGAGUUUGAUCAUGGCUCAGAUUGAACGCUGGCGGCAGGCCUAACACAUGCAAGUCGAACGGUAACAGGAAUCAGCUUGCUGAUUCGCUGACGAGUGGCGGACGGGUGAGUAAUGUCUGGGAAACUGCCUGAUGGAGGGGGAUAACUACUGGAAACGGUAGCUAAUACCGCAUAAUGUCGCAAGACCAAAGAGGGGGACCUUCGGGCCUCUUGCCAUCGGAUGUGCCCAGAUGGGAUUAGCUUGUUGGUGGGGUAACGGCUCACCAAGGCGACGAUCCCUAGCUGGUCUGAGAGGAUGACCAGCCACACUGGAACUGAGACACGGUCCAGACUCCUACGGGAGGCAGCAGUGGGGAAUAUUGCACAAUGGGCGCAAGCCUGAUGCAGCCAUGCCGCGUGUAUGAAGAAGGCCUUCGGGUUGUAAAGUACUUUCAGCGGGGAGGAAGGGAGUAAAGUUAAUACCUUUGCUCAUUGACGUUACCCGCAGAAGAAGCACCGGCUAACUCCGUGCCAGCAGCCGCGGUAAUACGGAGGGUGCAAGCGUUAAUCGGAAUUACUGGGCGUAAAGCGCACGCAGGCGGUUUGUUAAGUCAGAUGUGAAAUCCCCGGGCUCAACCUGGGAACUGCAUCUGAUACUGGCAAGCUUGAGUCUCGUAGAGGGGGGUAGAAUUCCAGGUGUAGCGGUGAAAUGCGUAGAGAUCUGGAGGAAUACCGGUGGCGAAGGCGGCCCCCUGGACGAAGACUGACGCUCAGGUGCGAAAGCGUGGGGAGCAAACAGGAUUAGAUACCCUGGUAGUCCACGCCGUAAACGAUGUCGACUUGGAGGUUGUGCCCUUGAGGCGUGGCUUCCGGAGCUAACGCGUUAAGUCGACCGCCUGGGGAGUACGGCCGCAAGGUUAAAACUCAAAUGAAUUGACGGGGGCCCGCACAAGCGGUGGAGCAUGUGGUUUAAUUCGAUGCAACGCGAAGAACCUUACCUGGUCUUGACAUCCACGGAAGUUUUCAGAGAUGAGAAUGUGCCUUCGGGAACCGUGAGACAGGUGCUGCAUGGCUGUCGUCAGCUCGUGUUGUGAAAUGUUGGGUUAAGUCCCGCAACGAGCGCAACCCUUAUCCUUUGUUGCCAGCGGUCCGGCCGGGAACUCAAAGGAGACUGCCAGUGAUAAACUGGAGGAAGGUGGGGACGACGUCAAGUCAUCAUGGCCCUUACGACCAGGGCUACACACGUGCUACAAUGGCGCAUACAAAGAGAAGCGACCUCGCGAGAGCAAGCGGACCUCAUAAAGUGCGUCGUAGUCCGGAUUGGAGUCUGCAACUCGACUCCAUGAAGUCGGAAUCGCUAGUAAUCGUGGAUCAGAAUGCCACGGUGAAUACGUUCCCGGGCCUUGUACACACCGCCCGUCACACCAUGGGAGUGGGUUGCAAAAGAAGUAGGUAGCUUAACCUUCGGGAGGGCGCUUACCACUUUGUGAUUCAUGACUGGGGUGAAGUCGUAACAAGGUAACCGUAGGGGAACCUGCGGUUGGAUCACCUCCUUACCUUAAAGAAGC